UACGUAGGGUGCAAGCGUUAAUCGGAAUUACUGGGCGUAAAGCGUGCGCAGGCGGUUAUGUAAGACAGAUGUGAAAUCCCCGGGCUCAACCUGGGAACUGCAUUUGUGACUGCAUAGCUAGAGUACGGUAGAGGGGGAUGGAAUUCCGCGUGUAGCAGUGAAAUGCGUAGAUAUGCGGAGGAACACCGAUGGCGAAGGCAAUCCCCUGGACCUGCACUGACGCUCAUGCACGAAAGCGUGGGGAGCAAACAGG
rnacentral:rRNA from 1 species